AGGGCUGUAGCUUACUUGGCAGAGCUCUUGACUAGUGUGCAGGAAGCCUGGGUUCAAUUCCCAGCCCUG
rnacentral:tRNA from 1 species